UCCCAGAGAACAGUCUUGUCAUCCCGAGCCUAGAGGGUGGAGAUUUGGCUGCCAUAAUUCUUGGAGAUUGAGAUUGUCAUGACAAUGUGUCUCCUCCCCUUUCCUUUCUGAUUCUGGGUUGAACCCCAAGGAAACAUGAUGAACCAGGUUGCAUGACUGUGAAGGCAGGAUAAAAGAAAAGCAGAAGAACCACAUUAAUCAUGGCAGACAUUGAUGAAGAAGGACAAUGAGGGCACAUGCUGUAUGCCAGACUCGUCACUGAAAAUACUAGGCCUCUGUCUGAGUGGA
rnacentral:lncRNA from 10 species